GGUUGGAUAUUUCAGUCGGUAGAACAUUAGACUCUUAAUCUCCGGGUCGUGGGUUUGAGCCCCAUGUCGAGUG